UUAUAAGAGACAGCAGCCGCCACGGGAAUACGGAGGGUGCAAGCGUUAAUCGGAAUUACUGGGCGUAAAGCGCACGCAGGCGGUCUGACAAGUCAGAUGUGAAAUCCCCGGGCUUAACCUGGGAACUGCAUUUGAAACUGUCAGGCUGGAGUCUUGUAGAGGGGGGUGGAAUUCCAGGUGUAGCGGUGAAAUGCGUAGAGAUCUGGAGGAAUACCGGUGGCGAAGGCGGCCCCCUGGACAAAGACUGACGCUCAGGUGCGAAAGCGUGGGGAGCAAACAGGAUUAGAUACCCCAGUAGUCCCUGUCUCUUAUAC
rnacentral:rRNA from 1 species